rnacentral:rRNA from 1 species
GUGAGGAAUUUUCCGCAAUGGACGAAAGCCUGACGGAGCAAUGCCGCGUGAAGGAUGAAGGCCUAUGGGUUGUAAACUUCUUUUCUCAGAAAAGAAUUAUGACGGUAUCUGAGGAAUAAGCAUCGGCUAACUCUGUGCCAGCAGCCGCGGUAAGACAGAGGAUGCAAGCGUUAUCCGGAAUGAUUGGGCGUAAAGCGUCUGUAGGUUGUUUAAAAAGUAUUCUGUCAAAGAUUAGGGCUUAACCCUAGAUAGGCAGAAUAAACUUUUAAGCUAGAGUUUGGUAGAGGCAGAGGGAAUUCCCGGUGGAGCGGUGAAAUGCGUAGAUAUCGGGAGGAACACCAAAGGCGAAGGCACUCUGCUGGGCCAAUACUAACACUGAGAGACGAAAGCGAGGGGAGCAAAUGGGAUUAGAAACCCUUGUAGUCC